UACGUAGGUGGCAAGCGUUUGUCCGGAUUUAUUGGGUUUAAAGGGUGCGUAGGCGGUCUAUUAAGUCAGUGCUGAAAUAUCCCGGCUUAACCGGGAGGGUGGCAUUGAUACUGAUGGACUUGAGUAAAGUUGAGGUUGGCGGAAUUGACGGUGUAGCGGUGAAAUGCUUAGAUAUCGUCAAGAACACCUAUUGCGAAGGCAGCUAACUAGCUAAACUGACGCUGAGGCACGAAAGUGUGGGGGAUCAAACAGG
rnacentral:rRNA from 1 species